rfam:Hordeum vulgare subsp. vulgare, WGS project CAJW01000000 data, contig: morex_contig_2547147
GCCCGGAAGAGGAAGAAUAGAGGGCCUUAGAGUAGUGGGAAUGGGAGCAUGGCCAAAAGCCUAAGUUUUCACCUCUAGAAUUGGAUGUGAGAAUUUAUAUUGGUGGUUUCCAAUGCCUCCCAUUUCUGUUCUUCUAAAGCACUCUUUCCUCUUCCCCUUUGGG